GACACUCAGAUUGUUCAGCCGAAACGCUGGAAGAGAAGAAAAUAAUAGGAUAAUAGCUUCCACAUCAAAUUCCGUAGCUGAAAUCGAUUACAAAAUUCGAUUCCCCAAUUUUUUAGGAAGGGAAAUUAAGAUUAACAAACGAUAUAAAAAAAAACAGAGGUGGAAAGAAAUGUUUAGAAGAAGCAAGUUUCUCUCUUUCCCUAUGGUUAUUGGAGCAGUCAUAAUUGGAGUUAUUUCUGGGAAGGCAAUAUUCGGACCUCCACUUGAUGAUUACUGGAGAAAGAAGCUGCAAGAAGAGGCUGCUGCAAAAGAGAAUGAGAACAACUCGACUUAGUUGAAUAUCUUUAUUAAAAUUUGUCUAAUCUGGUGGUUUCUGAGAGCAAAAAAAAAAAAGGAUCCGUUUGCCUUUGAAGAUUCUUAAACUGUGUUCAAGCAUUUGUUGUUUCUCGUCUUGAUGUUAUUCGAGCUAGAAAUCAUCAAUGGAGGAAAAGCUGGUAUGCAUCAAAGCAUUUUGUUCACGGUACUAGUGGUUCUAGGAUGGAUUCCUUCUUUAUACUGCUUUUACUGUUCAGAGAUGAAAAGAAUAACCGACUUCUCUUACUGAACCGCACUCUGGCAAUAUUCAAUUGACGUGCCUGUUAUGGUUUAUGUUAUAAAUUUGUGCAUAUUCUUGUUUUGUUCCA